GGGCUUGGUGAAGGGAUGAAACUUGGUGUGAUGGAGAUGAGCAAGAUGAACAAUCGAAGUUGAGCGGUUAAUCGAUAAGUGAAAGGAAUCAUAAUCAGAAUUUAAAAACGAAAAAUAGCAUUGCCGGAAUCUGGGAUUUAUCGUCAGAAUCUGGAAAUUUAUGAAUUUUCCAGCAACAAUAUGAAAUUUUCGCGGGCCGGAGUUUAUGUUCUACGAACAAGGACAGAAAAA
rnacentral:lncRNA from 1 species